CCCCAGUAGCGGCGAGCGAACGGGGAGCAGCCCAGAGCCUGAAUCAGUGUGUGUGUUAGUGGAAGCGUCUGGAAAGGCGCGCGAUACAGGGUGACAGCCCCGUACACAAAAAUGCACAUACUGUGAGCUCGAUGAGUAGGGCGGGACACGUGGUAUCCUGUCUGAAUAUGGGGGGACCAUCCUCCAAGGCUAAAUACUCCUGACUGACCGAUAGUGAACCAGUACCGUGAGGGAAAGGCGAAAAGAACCCCGGCGAGGGGAGUGAAAAAGAACCUGAAACCGUGUACGUACAAGCAGUGGGAGCACGCUUAGGCGUGUGACUGCGUACCUUUUGUAUAAUGGGUCAGCGACUUAUAUUCUGUAGCAAGGUUAACCGAAUAGGGGAGCCGAAGGGAAACCGAGUCUUAACUGGGCGUUAAGUUGCAGGGUAUAGACCCGAAACCCGGUGAUCUAGCCAUGGGCAGGUUGAAGGUUGGGUAACACUAACUGGAGGACCGAACCGACUAAUGUUGAAAAAUUAGCGGAUGACUUGUGGCUGGGGGUGAAAGGCCAAUCAAACCGGGAGAUAGCUGGUUCUCCCCGAAAGCUAUUUAGGUAGCGCCUCGUGAAUUCAUCUCCGGGGGUAGAGCACUGUUUCGGCAAGGGGGUCAUCCCGACUUACCAACCCGAUGCAAACUGCGAAUACCGGAGAAUGUUAUCACGGGAGACACACGGCGGGUGCUAACGUCCGUCGUGAAGAGGGAAACAACCCAGACCGCCAGCUAAGGUCCCAAAGUCAUGGUUAAGUGGGAAACGAUGUGGGAAGGCCCAGACAGCCAGGAUGUUGGCUUAGAAGCAGCCAUCAUUUAAAGAAAGCGUAAUAGCUCACUGGUCGAGUCGGCCUGCGCGGAAGAUGUAACGGGGCUAAACCAUGCACCGAAGCUGCGGCAGCGACGCUGAUGCGUUGUUGGGUAGGGGAGCGUUCUGUAAGCCUGUGAAGGUGUGCUGUGAGGCAUGCUGGAGGUAUCAGAAGUGCGAAUGCUGACAUAAGUAACGAUAAAGCGGGUGAAAAGCCCGCUCGCCGGAAGACCAAGGGUUCCUGUCCAACGUUAAUCGGGGCAGGGUGAGUCGACCCCUAAGGCGAGGCCGAAAGGCGUAGUCGAUGGGAAACAGGUUAAUAUUCCUGUACUUGGUGUUACUGCGAAGGGGGGACGGAGAAGGCUAUGUUGGCCGGGCGACGGUUGUCCCGGUUUAAGCGUGUAGGCUGGUUUUCCAGGCAAAUCCGGAAAAUCAAGGCUGAGGCGUGAUGACGAGGCACUACGGUGCUGAAGCAACAAAUGCCCUGCUUCCAGGAAAAGCCUCUAAGCAUCAGGUAACAUCAAAUCGUACCCCAAACCGACACAGGUGGUCAGGUAGAGAAUACCAAGGCGCUUGAGAGAACUCGGGUGAAGGAACUAGGCAAAAUGGUGCCGUAACUUCGGGAGAAGGCACGCUGAUAUGUAGGUGAAGCGACUUGCUCGUGGAGCUGAAAUCAGUCGAAGAUACCAGCUGGCUGCAACUGUUUAUUAAAAACACAGCACUGUGCAAACACGAAAGUGGACGUAUACGGUGUGACGCCUGCCCGGUGCCGGAAGGUUAAUUGAUGGGGUCAGCGCAAGCGAAGCUCUUGAUCGAAGCCCCGGUAAACGGCGGCCGUAACUAUAACGGUCCUAAGGUAGCGAAAUUCCUUGUCGGGUAAGUUCCGACCUGCACGAAUGGCGUAAUGAUGGCCAGGCUGUCUCCACCCGAGACUCAGUGAAAUUGAACUCGCUGUGAAGAUGCAGUGUACCCGCGGCAAGACGGAAAGACCCCGUGAACCUUUACUAUAGCUUGACACUGAACAUUGAGCCUUGAUGUGUAGGAUAGGUGGGAGGCUUUGAAGUGUGG
rnacentral:rRNA from 1 species